ACUCACCCAUUGUCCCUGAAGCAUAGCCACUUCCAUAGAAGGGAAAAUACAGCGACAUAUGCAACGAUAUGCAAACAUUUUAGAAGUAUGUUCUAGUCAACGAUAUGUCAAGCGCCAGGUUACUCAUAGAAGUACCUCUGGAUAAACAAUGUUCGCAGUACAUGUAGAUAUAUCAGAGGAGAGAAUAACAAAGAUCUGACGGGCAGUUGUGCAUCUGGAUAAGGCAACAUAUAGCUGACCGUGGCUAAAAACAGAGGUCAUUGGUUUCCAAUAACACAGGUCAUUGGUUUCCAAUAACACAGUGUUUAUAAUACCUAACACGUCAUUUCGAAGAUGAGGAUUCCGAGACUCUCGAAAAGCCAAGGCUGUAGAAGCAUCAUAAAUAUACAACUGCGCAUAAUUGGGUUCAACCCCUUCAGCUGGUAACAAAGAUCCGAUCCUAUAUCAAUUCAAAAAAAAAAAAUUAAAGAAGAUCAAUAUACUUGCUGGACGAAGUGGAGGCGAAUGUGGUACUGGGAAUAUGCUUUUAGGAUCUUGUAGGUAUGAUGGAUGCGAUCAAAAAAAUCCACAAAUAUGAAUAUAAAACAUCCUAUAUUAUGCGGUAAAAUGCAA
rnacentral:lncRNA from 1 species